GAUGAAGAACGUAGCGAAAUGCGAUACGUAAUGUGAAUUGCAGAUCUCUCAGUGAACCAUCGAAUUUUUGAACGCACAUUGCGCCCGCCAGUAUUCUGGCGGGCAUGCCUGUUCGAGCGUCAUUUCAACCAUCAAGCCCGGCUUGUGUUGGGGCCCUGCGGCUGUCCGCAGGCCCUUAAAACCAGUGGCGGGCUCGCUGUCACUCCGAGCGCAGUAAUACAUCUCGCUUUGGUCGUGCAGCGGGUACCGGCCGUUAAACACCCCCCUUUUUAUCAAGGUUGACCUCGGAUCAGGUAGGAAUACCCGCUGAACUUAAGCAUAUCAAUAAGCGGAGGA
rnacentral:misc_RNA from 1 species